rnacentral:rRNA from 1 species
GUAGGUGGCAAGCGUUGUCCGGAAUUAUUGGGCGUAAAGCGCGCGCAGGCGGUUCUUUAAGUCUGAUGUGAAAGCCCACGGGCUCAACCGUGGAGGGUCAUUGGAAACUGGAGAACUUGAGUACAGAAGAGGAAAGCGGAGUUCCACGUGUAGCGGUGAAAUGCGUAGGGAUGUGGAGGAACACCAGUGGCGAAGGCGGCUUUCUGGUCUGUAACUGACGCUGAGGCGCGAGAGCGUGGGGAGCAAACAGGAUUAGAUACCCUGGUAGUCCACGCCGUAAACGAUGAGUGCUAAGUGUUAGGGGGUUUCCGCCCCUUAGUGCUGCAGCUAACGCAUUAAGCACUCCGCCUGGGGAGUACGGCCGCAAGGCUG